rnacentral:siRNA from 1 species
UCCAAGUGGGCCAUUUUUGGUAAG